AGAUGACUAAGAAAUGUCCAAGAAAAGUCUAAAACAAGCAGAAGAGAAAGACUGGACCCAGGCACGCCUGCUACACAGGAAUACAAGGUACUGAUCAUGGUAGCCAUGUGGUCAGAUUCCAUUGUCAAUCCACUUUACAGAAAGAACAGUCUAAAAAGAAAAAUGCCAAGGCUCAGAAGCAGCCUCAUAUCAGGUUGGGGACUGACCUUCGUGACGGCU